AUUGGUUUAAACGGCACCGUUUCUACUUCCUUAAAAAGGCCAAACCAUGCCUUCAUUUAGCAGAACCAAUAAUGCAACCCUAGCCUUUUUCUCUUCAAUCGUCAAGCCUUAAACUCACUCCUUCAAGCGCCGAUCCUCGCUAAGCGGCGAUCAACGCCUUUAAAUUUUAGGGGAUAUUUCAUAGCCUCACGAUUCCUUUCCAACCUCGGUUUUGACGAAGCGAAACAAAAUUCGUGGCUCUUUCUUUAGGUAAAAUUUCUUUUCUUUUUCUUUUUUGUUUUCUAAUGCAAAAAACGAAAUAUUAAAAGACAAAAUCGGGAAAAACAAAAUAAAAAAAAAGCAUCCAGAAUUUGGACUUAGGAAUCACCUUUUUAAUUUUGGUAGCCCUUUUCUAUAUUUCAGUAUACGUAAGAUUUUCAAGUACAAGCGAGGGCUUUUUAUAGCCAAAUUUACAGAAUAAAUAGCAAAAAAUAAAAAUAUUUUCCUGCUGUCAUUUGUGUAUUCCGUUAUUCUGCUUCUUCUCGUGUGUUCUUUUGCAGGAGCAGCCGUACAGAGGAACGAAGGGAGGCGCGCAUGAAGGAGGCCGUGCAUGGGACUAUUCGUAGGGAGCCCGAUCCUGGCUAGCUGCUGGUGUUUUCCAGAAACCUCUAGGGUUUCUGGUGUUUGGGCCUUUUUCGGGUCAUUUUGGGUCUCGGGUUUAGUUUAUUUGGGCUUGUAUUUUAAUGUUUGGGUUGGAUUUUAUGUAAUUGGGUCAUUGACUUUUAUUGUUUUGGGUUUUUUUUGUUUGUUUAUUUUUGGUUUUGGGUUCUUUUAUGGGCCCGGAGUUUUGUAAAUGGACAUUGGUUAAUUAUUUAUUUUGAUUUUAUUAUUUUUGUUUUAUUUUUGGUUUUUAAGAUUUAUUAUUAUUUUUUAGGUUUAUAAUGGGCCGGGGAAAUUGGGCCUAUUACAAUUAUUAGAUAAUAUAUAUAAAUUUUAUGUUAUUUAUUAUAACAUAUAUAUAUAUUAAGUUAUCAUAUAUAUAACACAUAUCAUUAAUGUCAUCCACUACUAUUAGUUAAAUACAUAUAUACUAUUUUAGCC
rnacentral:lncRNA from 1 species